CCCUUAGAUGUUCUGGGCCGCACGCGCGCUACACUGAUGCAUUCAACGAGUCUAAAACCUGCUCUGAUAGGGGUGGGUAAUCUUUUGAAUGUGCAUCGUGAUUGGGAUAGAUGAUUGCAAUUUUUCAUCUUCAACGAGGAAUGCCUAGUAAACGCAAGUCAUCAGCUUGCAUUGAUUACGUUCCUGCCCUUUGUACACACCGCCCGUCGCUCCUACCGAUUGAAUGAUCCGAUGAAUAUCAUGGAUUGAGGAUGCAAGCAGGUUCGCCUGUCUUCAUCUUCGAGAAGUGAAGUAAAUCUUAUCAUUUAGAGGAAGGAGAAGUCGUAACA
rnacentral:rRNA from 1 species